UUCAAAAUUCAAAUCCACCUCCAUCUUUCCCUUUCUUCUCUCUCUCUCAACCCUGAAUGCAAGCAGCGUCCAUCGUAUGGAUCUAGAAACCCUAACUCUGAACAAAACCAGAAGAACAUCGAAGCGAUGGAGUCAAGUAUCGGAUCUAGAAAAUGCAAGCAACGUCCAUUGUAAUCCGAUCUACUUCCACCGUCACAGAUCCGGUUUCCAGUGACAGUGUUUCUAGGGUUUGUUGGUUAGGGACAAAAGUCAUGGCUGGUUCUCCUUAAUCUACCCUUGAUGGAUGCAAAAAUGGGUCAAACAGAAGAAGCCCUAGACCUACAUCUUUACACCGCCGCUGAAGAACUUUUUCGGAGAAGAAUGGUUGAAGAAUCUGUCGACGGCUCUGAUCUUGCUGGAUCUGAGAAAGUAUUGUACGGUCGUUUACUGGAUCACUUACUGUUGUAUCUACAAACAAAUUGUUGUUUGUUUGUAGAUAUAAAGUUGUUUACUGGAUCACUUACUGUAUAAAGUUGUUUACUGGAUCACUUACUGUAUAAAGUUGUUUACUGGAUCAAUUGCAAAUGAAUGAUCGAUUCAAGGUUCACUGAUUUAAGUAAGGUAUAGCGAUCAUGAGUGACGAUUCUGUUAUGAAUCCAGAGCUUGUAAUCAAUCACAAAUUUCUGCAAGUCGAUAUCGAUUCACAGCCGAACCAAAACUUUUACCAGAGUGGAGUUUCAGGGGAACAACAACAACCAUCCACUACUGUUCUGAUGAUUUCAAGAUGAGAGUUGUGUUGCAGACCCGAUCAACGACAGAUUCAGCAGCAGCAGUUGUUGAUGCAGUCCGCUAGGGUUUCGUACAACAAUGGCGAUCAUCAGCGUGAUAAUCCGUAUGGAUUGUCAACAAAGAUUGUUUCGCCUUCGUAUGGAUUGUCUAUGGAGUCACAUUAAGGUUUGAAUUCGGAUUUUUUUAAUGAUAGUUGUUUGUAUUUGAUCAAAAUUGUUUGUAUAUGAUGAUGUUUAGGGUUAGAUUAGUUUUGAGUGUGUUUUUGGGGUUUGGGAACUAUUGAAUAUAGUUCAUCAAGAUCAGUAGAAUCCAACUAUUCCGACCGCCGGAAGUACGCCGUAUAAAAUCCAAUAAUAUCCCACGGCAAGGGGUUCACCAUGGGCUCAUUGGAAUCAACUCUUAUAAAUUCACAGUAAAGAAUAGCGAAGAUGGAAUCACCGGCGGGCACCAGAACGGUACGGUAAGCAGGCUGAAAAGCUGUAGUGUCUCGGUGCUUGCGUUUCAUUGAAUAAUAAAAGCGCCUAUCAGCCUUCUCCGAACCCAAUUCCGACAUCGAUUUCGAUCCGACAGGGGGAGGCAUGGCACGCAGACCAUGGCCGGCUCAACCAUUUUGGUGGCCUUAAGCGAAGUACAAAAGUUCAUCGCUAUCAUCUUCAUUAGCAUUCAAAGGUUCAUCGCUAUUAUUUACAUCAACAUUCAAAGGUUCAUCACUAUUAUGUUCAUCCACAUUCAAGGGUUCAUCACUAUUAUGGUCAUCCACAUUCAAAGGUUCAUCACUAUUAUGUUCAUCCACAUUCAAAGGUUCAUCGCUACUAAGGUCAUCCACUUUAAACGGUUCAUCACUAUUGUUAUCUUUCACGGUUGUUACAUAUUUUAAUAACGAUCCUUUUAAUGAUUCCAUCUGAGCUUCUAAUUUUUGCUUCUUUUUUCUCUUAGAAUGACCCGAUUCAUGCUUUCUAUAUCUAUUAGACAUUAUAGAUUCAAAACCUAACAAUUAUCAACAAUCCACACAAAAUUUAAUCUAAGAAUUCAAUUAUCAAAUAAAUCAAUAGUAAUCUCAAAAUCAACAGGAAUCAAAUUAGGGCAAGUAUUGUAACAGUACCUUAGAAGAACAAAUGUCGGAUCAAUUGGCAAUAAUCUCAAAAUCAACAGGAAUCAAAUCUCUACAACUUUGAAAUUGGCAGACUCCAAAGUCCAAACCAACAUCCAACAACGGCUCCCUUAGUCGCCCUGUAUAGAAUCAAAUUAGGGCAACUAUCACUUGAUUCAAUUUAGAAGAAAAAUAAUGAAUAUAUAGAGAGAGUAAACUGAACAUUGAAGAACCAAGAAAAGGUGAAUAUAAAAGAUGACUAUACAAGACUUACCAGCGAGACAAUAAAUUGGGGCUACAAUCUAGCAUCCAUCAUUCGAAAUCGACGCUACAAUCUCAAUCUGCUUCGAUUCGUUUCCCAAACAACUGAUUGAUUACAUCUUGGCUGUGAAUCUGUGAUUGGGAUUGGGAAUCGCGACUGUGUCGCUCGUCUUCAAAUGUUCUAAUUUGUAAUUGUAAUUACCUUAAAUGACGCAUAUAGAUGACAGAUCCAUAUUCACGCGUGUGUACUGUUGUUUCAAUUCCAACAGAUAUUACCCUAGUGGACUGGCCCAAAUACACUUCUAAACUGCUUUGUUUUAAGGCAAUAAGGCCCAAUUCGAACAUAUAGCUGUAUAAUAGAAAAAAAUAUUGGAGGCCCUAAAAAUUUUGUGGCCUAAAGCCCUAGCUUGAUUACGCUGGCCCAUGGGCCGGCCCUGACGCAGACAUGCUCAGAUUUACGAAAAAAAAUCAUGAUUAAGUAAGCCUUUAGACUUCCAUUAAUAUAUUGUUAAACUGGCAAUUGAUUCCCAUUAGUUUAUUGGCAGUUUGGCACUCUAGUUUCUCAUGAUUAGAAUUUAAAUCACCACCAAUUCUAUUAAUCUUCACAUCAUUGUUACCAAAUUAGCUAAUUUUCACUUGACCUGUUUCUUUUUUCUGGUAGAUUUGUUUAUUCGACCCGUAUCUUUUUUCUAAUAUUUUUUUUCUUGGUUUUUUAGUAAAUUUUAUGACACCAUGUGAUUAAGCCGAAAUAAGUGACAUUUUUUGGCAAAUAUUUAAUUCAUUACUUAUGUUUAUAAAACCUGUAUCUUUAUCAUAGUGAUCCAACUAUUUGAAGAAAAAAUGAUUUAUAGAUUUAUAGUAACAUUUUUGAACUUUAAAUUGAAAUAAUAAAAGUUUGUAUUUUAGGCUGUUCCGGGAUGUUAUACAGCCACUGAAAGCUGAGAAAUAUAGUCGUAAAUGGCAGGGAAAAAUGGUUGUACAGGGCUGGGAAUUACAUCCGUGCAGGGUUGGAAUAUCAAUAUUUAUGUAAGUUUGGUGUGGGCAUGUAGGGCUGGAAUAUGAAUACUAAUAUUUAUGUAAGUUUGGAAAUGUCUGCCUUUAUGUGGGUUUGGCGUAUAAAAUGGAUAAAAAUUAAAUCACGUAUGGUACUUUCAUUUUACAUCACAUAGUUAUCGUUCGACAUUUCUAAUGUCCUGUUUUCAAGAUGCAAUUUGUGGUCAAUCUUUCUUCAAGGUCUUGCUUAAGCCAUCAUGUUGUGAUAUGGUAUGCAUGUUCUUUUGUACAUGGCAAUUUUUUGUUCAUAUAUGCUUUUUUGUGGUUCUAAUUAUACGUUUUAAUGGCAUUUUGGUAGUAGUAGCUGAAUGGUUUUGUCGAUAUCUGUCUUCUUAGCAAAGUUACUAAAGUCUGAGCCACACUAUUUUUUGGUACACGUUCUUGGAAGGUGAAAAUGUCAAAAGCAGUGGUCAUCACUUUUAAAGUUAGCAUCAUUCUUCCAAAAGGGCAUUCAACUGAGCGUGCCAAAGAAUGAACAUCACAAACAGUUUGAAGAUAUUACACACUAUUUUGUUUUCAUUAACAAGGAAACCUUUAAAUUAUUUCAAUUUUUAUGUGGGUUCAAGUUUUUUAUUUUCUCAUUUAACUAAAACAUCAUUAUCACAGUUAUAUGUUUUUUCUACAUUUUAGUUAGAAAAUGGAGUGUGGUGCAACUUUGUAAGGGAAGCAGACCAAGCAUAUGAAGACUUUCUGUAUACAUACAAUUCUGAACCAUUUUUCUGGUGUGGUGCAACUUUGUAAGGGAAGCAGACCAAGCAUUCUAACAACAAAGUUGAUGUGUUGCCCCAUUAAGUUAACUGUAUUGUUAUCAACCUUUUCUCAUCGCUAUUAAUAUGUAGCAUAUAGGUAGGUUGUCGCUAUUUAUCGCUAUUUGCUAUUAACAACUAUGGUUCAUUGGAAUUAUCUUUUCUUUUUAUUUAAU